rnacentral:rRNA from 1 species
UUCCGGUUGAUCCUGCCGGACCCCACUGCUAUCGGGGUGGGACUAAAACAUGCGAGUCGAUAUGGUGAGGCGCGGCGAACGGCUCAGUAACACGUGGCUAACCUACCCUUUGGACGGGGACAACCCCGGGAAACUGGGGCUAAUCCCCGAUAGAUGAGGAGGCCUGGAAUGGUUUCUCAUCUAAAAGGUUUACCGCCAAAGGAUGGGGCCGCGGCCGAUCAGGUUGUUGGUGAGGUAACGGCUUACCAAGCCUAUAACCGGUACGGGCCGUGAGAGCGGGAGCCCGGAGAUGGGCACUGAGACAAGGGCCCAGGCCCUACGGGGCGCAGCAGUUGCGAAAACUCCGCAAUGCACGAAAGUGUGAACGGGCUACCCCGAGUGCCGUCCGCUGAGGAUGGCUUUUCUCCGCUGUAAGGAGGCGGAGGAAUAAGGCGAGGGCAAGUCUGGUGUCAGCCGCCGCGGUAAUACCAGCUCGCCGAGUGGUAGGGAUGAUUAUUGGGCCUAAAGCAUCCGUAGCCGGCCUUUCAAGUCUCUCGUUAAAUCCAGCGAUUCAAUCGUUGGACUGCGGGAGAUACUGUCAGGCUAGGGGGCGGGAGAAGCCGACGGUAUUCUUGGGGUAGGGGUAAAAUCCUAUAAUCCCGGGAAGACCACCGGUGGCGUAGGCGGUCGGCUAGCACGCGCUCGACGGUGAGGGACGAAAGCUGGGGGAGCGAACCGGAUUAGAUACCCGGGUAGUCUCAGCUGUAAACGAUGCUGGCUAGGUGUUGAAGCGGCUACGAGCCGCUUCAGUGCCGCAGGGAAGCCAUUAAGCCAGCCGCCUGGGGAGUACGGCCGCAAGGCUGAAACUUAAAGGAAUUGGCGGGGGAGCACCACAAGGGGUGAAGCUUGCGGUUUAAUUGGAGUCAACGCCGGA